rnacentral:lncRNA from 1 species
AUCUGAGUAGAGAGUUUUUAAAAAUACUAUGAACAUUACAACAUUAUUUAUGACAUUGAGAAUAAUCCUACAGAGAGGCCAGUUGUUGCUGAAGCAAAAUGAAGGGAUAACCCAGAGACAGAAGGAUCUAAUAAGAAGAUGAGAGAUGCGAGCCAGAGCAUAAUGGAGGGAAUAUCCUGUCAUAGAAAGAGAGAUAACAUCUCAAGUACAAAACAAGGAAGGAGAGGAGAUGGGUGUGAUGUUUGAGAAUAGGAAAAUGAGGAAGAUUAAUCUAAUAGUUUCUAUUCUUGGUGAAUUAUGAAGGAUAUUAACUGAGAAUGUGGGUGUAAAAGUCCUCUGGAAACAUGGCAAGUUAAGAGUAGAAUUACAAAGCAAUAUUGAAUGUCUGUCUUAGUUCAUUUAGACUGCUGUACCAAAAUACCAUAAACUAGCUGGCUUAUAAAAACAACAGACAUUUAUUUCUCCCAGUUCUGGAGGCUCGAAGCCCAAAAUCAAGGCACCAAAAGAUUUGGUGUCUAGUGAGGGCCCACUUCCUCACUGAUGGCUGUCUUCUCACUGUAACGUCACAUGGUAGAAGGGACAGGGAUCUCUUGAGCCUCUUGAGUAAGGGUACUAAUUCCAUUAAUGAGGACUUCAUCCUGACAAUCUAAUCACCUCUCAAAGGACCCACCUCCUAAUACCAUCCCCUGAGGGGUGAGGAUUUCAACAUGAAUUUGGGGAAACAUAAACAUUCCAACUACAGCAGUGCCCAUUUGAACACUGUAAUCAUGAAUUUCGAGUAAAGCCAAUUAGUCCAUUUGUGUCAUCUUUUUCCUCAGGUAAUAUCCACCUGCUCAAAUGAAGGCACAGAGAAAGAAAUGGAAAAGUUCAACCACAUAAGGGUUUUGCCAUUCAAACACCUUUCCUCUCUGAAAGAAGGGCAGACAUGCCUUUUCCAGGUUAUACUUAUGCCAAAUGAAAAUAGUUCAAAAUGCAAACUAUGGAGUAAUAGCAAAUUUAGGUGUUAUAUUAAUAGAUUAUUACUUACAAUGUUUUAUUUUGCCUUAGCUCUCAAGAUCAUAUAUACCACAUUUUUCCUGUGAGUCUUUCACUGAUUACCUCAGUUUUGCCCUAUGUUGUAUUUCCUUUUCCAUUAGUGCAUUUUCUAAAAACACAUCAAUAGGAUAUAUAUCUACAGGACAGCUGCAAUAAUUGCUGCUCUAGAAAUAUUUUAAUAUUUUAUUUGAAAAAACCAGGUAAAAAGCACAAUAAAUUUUCCCUAUAAAACAAAGGAAUUCACUCAUAGCAAGGUAUCAAUCUUCUUUCUCUGUAGAAAUAAAUUAUAUACAAUUUAAGCUCUUGAUUUAUACUUUAUUUUCUGUCUUUAUAUGUAACACAUACUAAUCAAAGGGAAAAAACUAAAAAU